CCUACGGGCGGCAGCAGUGAGGAAUAUUGGUCAAUGGACGAGAGUCUGAACCAGCCAAGUAGCGUGAAGGAUGACUGCCCUAUGGGUUGUAAACUUCUUUUAUAUGGGAAUAAAAUGUUCCACGUGUGGGAUUUUGUAUGUACCAUAUGAAUAAGGAUCGGCUAACUCCGUGCCAGCAGCCGCGGUAAUACGGAGGAUCCGAGCGUUAUCCGGAUUUAUUGGGUUUAAAGGGAGCGUAGGUGGAUUGUUAAGUCAGUUGUGAAAGUUUGCGGCUCAACCGUAAAAUUGCAGUUGAAACUGGCAGUCUUGAGUACAGUAGAGGUGGGUGGAAUUCGUGGUGUAGCGGUGAAAUGCUUAGAUAUCACGAAGAACUCCGAUUGCGAAGGCAGUUCACUGGACUGCAACUGACACUGAGGCUCGAAAGUGUGGGUAUCAAACAGGAUUAGAUACCCCAGUAGUC
rnacentral:rRNA from 1 species